GACGAACGCUGGCGGCGCGCUUAACACAUGCCAGUCGAACGGAAAGGCCUGCUUUCCCUUGUGGAUUGCGGGUACUCGAGUGGCGAACGGGUGAGUAACACGUGAGUGAUCUGCCCCCAACUUGGGUAUAAGCCUGGGAAACUGGGUCUAAUUCCCGAUAGGACUGCAGGGUGGUGCCUGUGGUGGAAAACGAUUUUCUAGUGGUUGGGGAUGAGCUCGCGGCCUAUCAGCUUGUUGGUGGGGUAAUGGCCUACCAAGGCGGCGACGGGUAGCCGGCCUGAGAGGGUGGACGGCCACAUUGGGACUGAGAUACGGCCCAGACUCCGACGGGAGGCAGCAGUGGGGAAUAUUGCACAAUGGGCGGAAGCCUGAUGCAGCGACGCCGCGUGGGGGAUGACGGCCUUCGGGUUGUAAACUCCUUUCGACCGCGAGGAAGCCACCUGGUUGGAAGGGUGGUGACGGUAGUGGUAGAAGAAGCACCGGCUAACUACGUG
rnacentral:rRNA from 1 species